rnacentral:rRNA from 1 species
CACGUAGGCACCAAGCGUUGUCCGGAUUUAUUGGGCGUAAAGAGCGUGUAGGCGGUUAGAUAGGUCUGCUGUGAAAACUCCAGGCUCAACCUGGAGACGUCGGUGGAAACCAUCUAACUAGAGUCCGGAAGAGGAGAGUGGAAUUCCUGGUGUAGCGGUGAAAUGCGCAGAUAUCAGGAAGAACACCGAUGGCGAAGGCAGGUCUCUGGGCUGACACUGACGCUCAUGCACGAAAGCGUGGGGAGCAAACAGG